CUCAUUGGGUGCGUGAGAAGGGAAGGGUGGAUCCUAAAAGAAUUCAGAAAGGCAAGAGACCACCUUACUGAGCUUCAAACUGGGGCUGGGAACGCUGCCAUGAAUUGGGCUUGGUCUGUCUGAAGGGAGCCACCUUUUCGACAAUCCUUAGACUUCUUUUGCCUGUUGGAAUUACACCUUGGAUCGUGGCGAAGUCUAUAGAGGUCAGAUUAAGAAGAACCAAAGCAGAAUAAACGUAGAACCCGAUGCUGAGUUCACGAGUGAGGACGACCUCUUCCUAUAUGCUUUGCUAUACCCUGCGUUUUGAACAUUAAGGACGAGAUAGGAGGCCCAUAAUGUUUCUUCUUGCUUUAAUCCUGUCGUGGCAACGUUGACUUCCACCUGGUUGCAGAGUGAGCCCAUGGGACAGCCCUCUGAAAUUAUACUGCUUACAACCAUGCUGAGUCUGCAAGGACUUCGUCCAAGCCUUUCCGUCCAGGACCUCAAACAGAUCCAAUCACAAGAAGAGAGAUUUCAGGAAAGAGAAAAUUAUUCCUAUCAUCGGGGUUUUUGAAGAACAUGAAAUGACUGGGAAAAUAAUCAUGUUAAGUGGAAAAAAAAAAGAAAUCUAUCUGUUGUAAUUUUCAAAUAAUUUUUAAAUAAAUUUGAAAAAUUAAGAGAACUAUAUAUAUAAUACAUUCCUAAUCUUGUGAAAAAUAUAUAUGCAUUAAUAUUAUUGAAAGAAAUAUAUCAAAAGGUGAACAGCAAUUAUCACCAAUCUAGAUUAUGAGAUUAGGAGUGAUUUUUUUUCUUUGUCCUAUACUAUUUAAUAUUUUCUACCAUUAAAAUAUUCUGAUUUUCUAAUUAGAAUAGUACGUUAGACAAAGAAGGACAAAUAUCACAUGAACUCUCACUCUCUUAUGGAACAGAUCUUGUGGAAUCUAAAAAAGUUGAACUCAUAGAAAAAGAGGAAAAUGAUGGUUACCAGUUAGAAAAAAGGAAUAAGUUCAAGAGAUCUAUUGUACACCAUGGUCAAUAUAGUUAACAAUAUAUUUUAUACUUUAAAAUUGCUAAGGUAGUAGAU
rnacentral:lncRNA from 1 species